rnacentral:rRNA from 1 species
UGCGUAGGCGGUUUGUUAAGUCACUGGUGAAAGUUUUCGGCCCAACCGGAAAAUUGCCUGUGAUACUGGCGAACUUGAGUGCGUGAGGGGUGGGGGGAACGAGCAGUGUAGCGGUGAAAUGCGUAGAUAUUGCUCGGAAGGCCGGAGCCGAAGGGGCCCCACUGGUACGUAACUGACGCUGAGGCACGAAAGCGUGGGGAGCAAACA